AGCGACUUAUAUUCUGUAGCAAGGUUAACCGAAUAGGGGAGCCGGAGGGAAACCGAGUCUUAAUUGGGCGUUAAGUUGCAGGGUAUAGACCCGAAACCCGGUGAUCUAGCCAUGGGCAGGUUGAAGGUUGGGUAACACUAACUGGAGGACCGAACCGACUAAUGUUGAAAAAUUAGCGGAUGACCUGUGGCUGGGGGUGAAAGGCCAAUCAAACCGGGAGAUAGCUGGUUCUCCCCGAAAGCUAUUUAGGUAGCGCCUCGUGAAUUCAUCUCCGGGGGUAGAGCACUGUUUCGGCUAGGGGGCCAUCCCGGCUUACCAACCCGAUGCAAACUGCGAAUACCGGAGAAUGUUAUCACGGGAGACACACGGCGGGUGCUAACGUCCGUCGUGAAGAGGGAAACAACCCAGACCGCCAGCUAAGGUCCCAAAGUCAUGGUUAAGUGGGAAACGAUGUGGGAAGGCCCAGACAGCCAGGAUGUUGGCUUAGAAGCAGCCAUCAUUUAAAGAAAGCGUAAUAGCUCACUGGUCGAGUCGGCCUGCGCGGAAGAUGUAACGGGGCUAAACCAUGCACCGAAGCUGCGGCAGCGACACUCAGGUGUUGUUGGGUAGGGGAGCGUUCUGUAAGCCUGCGAAGGUGGCCUGUGAGGGUUGCUGGAGGUAUCAGAAGUGCGAAUGCUGACAUAAGUAACGAUAAAGCGGGUGAAAAGCCCGCUCGCCGGAAGACCAAGGGUUCCUGUCCAACGUUAAUCGGGGCAGG
rnacentral:rRNA from 1 species